AUUUCCCUCCCCAAAGUCAGUUUCCCAAUUCAAACCCACUUACCCCAUAAAAUUCCAGAUUUCCCUCCUAUCGAGCCAUUUUCAGUUUUUCACCCUCCAUCGAACCUCCACCGGCACCACCACCGCUGCGCAAUGCUAUUGCCGUCUUCGCUGAUCGUUGACCACCACAGCUUUCCUCUAAUCGAUUGCAUCCAAGUUGUUUGCAGGUUUCGAGAUGAAUGAGCCCGGGGCUAAACGCCUAAAAUUCAACAGGCCAGUUCAAUCGUGUUCUUUAUCUUUCAUUCUACAACCCAAAAUAAUUUCACUUCUUAUGCUAGUAUGGGGAUGGUCUCAUGGGGCAAAACUGUUUAUACAGGUAUUGUGAAUGGGUCAGCGGGUUAACGGGUCAGCGGGUGACGGGUCAGUGGGUGAACGGGUCAGUGGGUUAACGGCUCAGCGGGUGAACUGGUCACGGGUCAGUGGGUGGACGGGUCAGCAGGUCAGUGGGUUAACAGCUGAGCAGGUGAACUGGUCAACGGGUCAACUAGCCACUGGGUUAACAGGUCAGCGAGUAAACGAGUCAGCGGGUGAACUGGUUAGCGGGUGAACGGGUCAGCGAGUCUGUCGGAUAAGAUGAGGUUCUGAAGCGGUUACAUGUCGAACACAUGAUGUGCUUACGCGGGCCUUAGGACGCGGCAUGGGUAGAGAGAUCUAGUCAUUCGAUUCUCUGACUUGGUGAUAUUAUUUACAUAGUUUUUAAAAAAGGGGGAUGACAUCAUCCUAUUGUCCUAUAAUCCCGGGUUCUAUUAUCCAUCAAAAUAACUGUAUGUAAAGAAAGGCCUAUUAUCUUGAUUUGUUUUGACUGAAUUUUGGUUUAUGUUUUUUUGUAGAAAUUAAUGGUGUUGGCAGUAUUAAACCUGAAAACAACUACAUGCUAUUAUCUUGAUUCCCUAAGGCCUAGCAGUAUCAAUGAACAGUUGAGGAAAAUUAUUGAUAUAUAAGUAAUACAAAUUAUCAUAAGAGUUGGAAAUAUUCUUUGAUACAUUUUUUAUAGGGCAAUGGUCGUGUUUGCUGCACGAAGUGGUACUAGCAUGAGGGUUAAACUCAACUCGGUCAACGCUAGGUGUCCAUGUCAGCGAUGAAGUACUAAAUGUGGCUACUAUGUGAUGAAGUUCAUGAGAGAGAGAGCUUGCAAAGGAGUUGAAAUUUUGGAUAAUGACAAUGUUGGGAAAGGAGUAGAAGAAUACUCGGCUGCAUAUAUGGAUGGCAUUCGUGAAGAUUGGUCGACUUAUGCGGUUGUCACACCCCAACCAAUGGCGGAAACAUCGGGAUGAGACGAAGUGUGAAGAUUGCUAGAGACAUCAUAACGC